rnacentral:rRNA from 1 species
AGCUCCAGUAGCGUAUAUUAAAGUUGUUGCAGUUAAAAGCUCGUAGUUGGAUUUCUGGCUGACCGGGUAUAGUCCGGCGUCCUCAGGGCGCUGUGUACUGUCUUGCGUUUGCCAUCCUUCCAGGGAGCCGUGCCUACCGUUCUGCGGAAGGGCGCGUGCGAUCUGGAUCUUUUACUUUGAAAAAUUAGAGUGUUCCAAGCAAGCUUACGCUUUGAAUACAUUAGCAUGGAAUAAUAAUAUAGGACUUCUGUUCUAUUUUGUUGGUUUCUAGGACCGAAGUAAUGAUUGAUAGGGAUAGUUGGGGGUGCUAGUAUUAAGCGGCCAGAGGUGAAAUUCUUGGAUUCGCUUAAGACUAACUACUGCGAAAGCAUUCACCAAGGAUGUCUUCU